CGGUACCGGGGCGGAGCCGGGCGGCGGCGGACGGCNNNNNNNNNNNNNNNNNNNNNNNNNNNNNNNNNNNNNNNNNNNNNNNNNNNNNNNNNNNNNNNNNNNUCCAUGGUGGCUAAAGUCCAACGCACGUGGGAAUCCCGUGGUGGCUGACGUGGCCGCGGGGCGGCUGGGAACGAGCGAGGAUCCCCGCGGCUGACCUCCUUUGCCAUCCUCCCCAGGUGUGUAUGUAUGCGCCCGGUGCGGCUAUGAGUUGUUCUCCAGCCGUGCAAAAUACGAGCACUCAUCCCCCUGGCCGGCCUUCACUGAGACCAUCCACGAGGACAGCGUGUCUAAACGCAAGGAGCGUCCAGGGGCCUUGAAGGUGUCCUGUGGCAAGUGUGGCAAUGGGCUGGGCCACGAGUUCCUCAACGAUGGCCCCAAGCGGGGGCAGUCCCGGUUCUGAAUAUUCAGCAGCUCGCUCAAAUUCAUCCCUAAAGGCAAAUCAGACAAAGACCCACAGGAGAAGUAAGCGAGCUGCUCUACAUGACCACUGUGAGGCCAUUCUCACAGCUGGGAUAUAUGGGAGCAGGGACUGUGACGGAGUCCCUGGUUUCCCAGUCUGCUUCCCUGCUCCGAGUCACCUCAGUCAUGGGUCUGGGAGGGAGCUGGGGGUGGGGAGAAGGGCUGCUGAGCUGCACAUGCUGGCAGAGCUUGUUUGGCACAAAUUGUGCUGAAGGCUGCAGCUCGUUGUUUCACCUGCCCUUUCCCCCUCCCCAGCCAUCCCUCCUCCCCAGCUAUCCCUUCCUCUGCCCAUGGCAAACAGUGCGUGCUGGGACUGUCACCAUCACGGCCAAGAAGGGCUGGCUGUGACCCGUCACCACUGCCACCUGGAGCUGCUCUGCUGCCAUCUCCUGCUGGAUUAGCUGGGAUCAGAAUCCGGGUUAAUCUCUGGUGCUAUUCUGGGCUGGGAUCAUGGUAUGAAUUGUCCUCUGUAAAUCCUCCUGGGAUGCGAGGGCAGUGAUGUUUUAUGAUCCUGCUGGAUGGCAGCCAGGCGUUUAGCCCUUUGCCCAUCUUGCACAUAGCAGAGGUGGUUCUGGAUUCACUGUGACCUUGGGGCUUGGUUCCGGCCUCCCACCAUGUGUGUCUCUGUGCUGUAACCCCAGUGAUGUUAACGGUUCCCCCUGCUGCAGGGAGGCCAGAACCAGCCUGCUGACUGUACCUCACACUACUCAGGCUUUACGAAUCACGUUUGCAUUCUCUCUGCGCUCAAAAGGGCUCUGGCACUGAUUUCUCCUUAAUUCAGGGCCUGAUUCGUGGCCUUCCCCUCACCAUCCUGCUUUGUUUACUGCCCAGAAACCAAAUCCUCCUCUUUGACAUCAGCAUAGAUGGAUUUUUGAACACAGCAACCCUUUGUCUGACCUUUGGGUCUGGCAUUGCAUCUGUGGUCAAUGCAUGUUACGGUUUGGCUGCACUCAGGUCACUUCAGAGGCUUUUCUCCGCAUUCAUUUCAUGUCUUCAAACCCCUCUGGCACUGAGAAGUGCACUGUGCCAGCUCGUCACUGCUGGCCUGGUACCUCCAAAUACUGAUAAUAAACCACUGAUUCACUGUAUGAGAGAAAUAGUU
ensembl:lncRNA